rnacentral:lncRNA from 1 species
AAAACACAGAGUGAAGCCUGCUUGCAUCUCCCUGGGGUGUAGAGACUGACUUCCUCCCACAGCAACCCCAGGCUGGCUGCACCCUUUGCAGUGCAGCCUAAGAUGCCCAACUGUGGUCCCUCCUAGAGCCCCACUUAAUAGCUGUAUCACCAGAAGACUGUGCCUGACCAUCAGAGAGCUGUAUCACCAGAAGACUGUGCCUGACCAUCAGAGAGCUCCAUCAGAGCAGCCCCCACUGGCACACACUAGCUCACCCCACACUCCAUCACAGUCUCUUCUGAGCCACUUUACCUGUACACACACAUCCACAACCAACCCCACUGCUUUGCUGGUGUGUGCAUAGACUAGUCCAAGGUGG